ACAACAUUCCCCUCAGGCCUGGGCUGGCUGUCCAGCAGCUCAAGGAGAAGAGUUCUCCAGCAGCUCAGGGGAGCAGCAGUAGCCCUCCUGCUGAUGCACAGCCUGUGGAGCAAGGGGUGUCCCUGCUGCAGUCACAGCUGGCCCGAGACCGACAGCACCACCAGCAGAACUACAUUGAGAGCUGUUCAAGGACCAGCCAGGAGCUGUCAGACCUUCACCAGGAGCUGUCCUGCUCCUUUGCAGCUGUGCUCAAGGAGCCCAAAGCUGCUCCUGUGGAAGCAGAGACUUGAAGCUGCAUCAGUCUCUGAAUCUUAACUUGGCAGGGACAUCCUUGGGCCAUCAGUCUCUGGAGAGACAGGCCCUGGAGAAGGCAGGUGCAGCUCUUGUGCACAGAGGAUUUAUGCCCUGCUCAGAAGGCAGCUCCUGUCAACUGGGGCACAGAAAUCCUCCCUAGGACACUGACAAACGCUAUCAAAGAUGAGGGCAAAAAACACCUGCCAAAGCUCUUCCAAGCAGACCCAUUUGGUUCUUGAAGGUCUGUUCCUAGUGAGGAAUCUUUGAUGUAAGCAGCAGGACUUUUCUUCUGCCUAGAAGACCUAGUAAUAUAUGCGCAAACAGAGAGCAGAGCAGGAAAAACAUGCACUUGUGGCUGUCUCAGGAUUCUUAAUCCAUUUUAUGAGCUGACGCUGCUCUUGGCCGCCCCGGAGCUCUGGGCUGGCUCCACAGUGCCCAGGGUCCAAUGGGAGCUCACGGAGGGAGGGGUAAGGGGAGGAGGUUACAAUACCAGGGACCAAUGGGGAUACAAAGAAGGCGGGAAUACAACAUAACAACCAAUAGUGUUUUGAGGAAGGGAUGACAUACAUGGAAGGAGCUGGAAGGAGAGGUGGGGUUUACAGGGAUGGAUGGGGAGCUGGGGCAGGGUAAAGGUGAUUGACGGGGAACAUUCAGAAAAACUGGGAGGGGUUUACAUAACAGACAAAUGGAACCAACCAAAGCAGUAAAUGGGAGACAACCAGGAACAUAUCAAACAGACGAAAUACUAACAAUUUUAACAGAACUGAAUAAACAUACUACAACAAUGAGCCUUAAA